rnacentral:rRNA from 1 species
CAAAGGUUUGGUCCUGGCCUUCCUAUUAGUUAUUAACAGAAUUACACAUGCAAGCCUCCACAUCCCGGUGAAGAUGCCCUCUAAAUCCAUAAACGAUUAAAAGGAGCGGGCAUCAGGCACACUAAAUAAGUAGCCCAUAACGCCUUGCUCAACCACACCCCCACGGGAUACAGCAGUGAUAAAAAUUAAGCCAUGAACGAAAGUUUGACUAAGCCAUGUUAAUAUUAAGAGUUGGUAAAUUUCGUGCCAGCCACCGCGGUCAUACGAUUAACCCAAAUUAAUAGGCUCACGGCGUAAAACGUGCUAAGGAUUACAAAACACUAAAGUUAAAAUUUAACCAGGCUGUAAAAAGCUACUGUUAAUAUAAAAUAUACCACGAAAGUGACUUUAUCAUCUCCAACAACACGAUAGCUGGGACCCAAACUGGGAUUAGAUACCCCACUAUGCCCAGCCCUAAACACAAACAAUUUACACAACAAAAU